rnacentral:rRNA from 2 species
GUUGUAUGGUUAAGUGACUAAGCGUACACGGUGGAUGCCUUGGCAGUCAGAGGCGAUGAAAGACGUAGUAACUUGCGAUAAGCCCAGAUUAGGUAGUAACAACCAUUUGAGUCUGGGAUUUCUGAAUGGGGAAACCCACGUGCAUAAGCACGUAUCCUUACCUGAAUACAUAGGGUAAGGAGGCGAACCGGGGGAACUGAAACAUCUAAGUACCCCGAGGAAAAGAAAUCAACCGAGAUUCCGAAAGUAGCGGCGAGCGAAAUUGGACUAGCCCUUAAGCUUUACACGCGUUAGACGAACGGUCUGGAAAGUCCGACGAUACAGGGUGAUAGUCCCGUAGUUGACGACGUGUGUUCAGUGAAAUCGAGUAGGGCGGGACACGUGAUAUCCUGUCUGAAUAUGGGGGGACCAUCCUCCAAGGCUAAAUACUACUGACUGACCGAUAGUGAACCAGUACCGUGAGGGAAAGGCGAAAAGAACCCCUGUGAGGGGAGUGAAAUAGAACCUGAAACCGUGUACGUACAAGCAGUAGGAGCAGGCUUUGUCCUGUGACUGCGUACCUUUUGUAUAAUGGGUCAGCGACUUAUAUUCAGUGGCAAGGUUAACCAUCUAGGGGAGCCGUAGGGAAACCGAGUCUUAACUGGGCGUUCAGUCUCUGGAUAUAGACCCGAAACCAGGUGAUCUAGCCAUGGGCAGGUUGAAGGUUGAGUAACAUCAACUGGAGGACCGAACCGACUAAUGUUGAAAAAUUAGCGGAUGACUUGUGGCUAGGGGUGAAAGGCCAAUCAAACCUGGAGAUAGCUGGUUCUCCCCGAAAGCUAUUUAGGUAGCGCCUCGGACGAAUACUACUGGGGGUAGAGCACUGUUAAGGCUAGGGGGUCAUCCCGACUUACCAACCCUUUGCAAACUCCGAAUACCAGUAAGUACUAUCCGGGAGACACACGGCGGGUGCUAACGUCCGUCGUGGAGAGGGAAACAACCCAGACCGCCAGCUAAGGUCCCAAAUUACUACUAAGUGGGAAACGAUGUGGGAAGGCUCAGACAGCCAGGAUGUUGGCUUAGAAGCAGCCAUCAUUUAAAGAAAGCGUAAUAGCUCACUGGUCGAGUCGGCCUGCGCGGAAGAUGUAACGGGGCUAAGUAGUAAACCGAAGCUGCGGCAAUACUCUUUGAGUAUUGGGUAGGGGAGCGUUCUGUAAGCGGUUGAAGGUGUGUGGUAACGCAUGCUGGACGUAUCAGAAGUGCGAAUGCUGACAUGAGUAACGAUAAAGGGGGUGAAAAACCUCCUCGCCGGAAGACCAAGGGUUCCUGUCCAACGUUAAUCGGGGCAGGGUAAGUCGACCCCUAAGGCGAGGCCGAAAGGCGUAGUCGAUGGGAAACGGGUUAAUAUUCCCGUACUUCUUACAAUUGCGAUGGGGGGACGGAGAAGGCUAGGUGGGCCUGGCGACGGUUGUCCAGGUUCAAGUGCGUAGGCUUGAGAGUUAGGUAAAUCCGGCUCUCUUUAAGGCUGAGACACGACGUCGAGCACCUACGGGUGUGAAGUCAUUGAUGCCAUGCUUCCAGGAAAAGCCUCUAAGCUUCAGAUUGUAAGGAAUCGUACCCCAAACCGACACAGGUGGUCGGGUAGAGAAUACCAAGGCGCUUGAGAGAACUCGGGUGAAGGAACUAGGCAAAAUGGUACCGUAACUUCGGGAGAAGGUACGCUCUCGACGGUGAAGUCCCUCGCGGAUGGAGCUAUUGAGAGUCGCAGAUACCAGGUGGCUGCAACUGUUUAUUAAAAACACAGCACUGUGCAAAAUCGUAAGAUGACGUAUACGGUGUGACGCCUGCCCGGUGCCGGAAGGUUAAUUGAUGGGGUUAGACUUCGGUCGAAGCUCUUGAUCGAAGCCCCGGUAAACGGCGGCCGUAACUAUAACGGUCCUAAGGUAGCGAAAUUCCUUGUCGGGUAAGUUCCGACCUGCACGAAUGGCGUAAUGAUGGCCACGCUGUCUCCACCCGAGACUCAGUGAAAUUGAAAUCGCUGUGAAGAUGCAGUGUACCCGCGGCUAGACGGAAAGACCCCGUGAACCUUUACUACAGCUUGGCACUGAACAUUGACCCUACAUGUGUAGGAUAGGUGGGAGGCUUUGAAGCAGGUACGCCAGUAUCUGUGGAGCCGUCCUUGAAAUACCACCCUUGUAGUGUUGAUGUUCUAACGUCGACCCCUAAUCGGGGUUGCGGACAGUGCCUGGUGGGUAGUUUGACUGGGGCGGUCUCCUCCCAAAGAGUAACGGAGGAGCACGAAGGUGGGCUAAUCACGGUUGGACAUCGUGAGGUUAGUGCAAUGGCAUAAGCCCGCUUGACUGCGAGAAUGACAAUUCGAGCAGGUGCGAAAGCAGGUCAUAGUGAUCCGGUGGUUCUGAAUGGAAGGGCCAUCGCUCAACGGAUAAAAGGUACUCCGGGGAUAACAGGCUGAUACCGCCCAAGAGUUCAUAUCGACGGCGGUGUUUGGCACCUCGAUGUCGGCUCAUCACAUCCUGGGGCUGAAGUCGGUCCCAAGGGUAUGGCUGUUCGCCAUUUAAAGUGGUACGCGAGCUGGGUUUAGAACGUCGUGAGACAGUUCGGUCCCUAUCUGCCGUGGGCGUUGGAAGAUUGAAGGGGGCUGCUCCUAGUACGAGAGGACCGGAGUGGACGAACCUCUGGUGUUCGGGUUGUGUCGCCAGACGCAUUGCCCGGUAGCUAAGUUCGGAAUCGAUAACCGCUGAAAGCAUCUAAGCGGGAAGCGAGCCCUGAGAUGAGUCUUCCCUGAUACUUUAAGUAUCCUAAAGGGUUGUCGGAGACUACGACGUUGAUAGGUCAGGUGUGUAAGUGCUGUGAGGCAUUGAGCUAACUGAUACUAAUUGCCCGUGAGGCUUAACCAUACAACACCCAAGGGGUUU